rnacentral:rRNA from 1 species
UGAGGAAUAUUGGUCAAUGGGCGAGAGCCUGAACCAGCCAAGUAGCGUGCAGGAUGACGGCCCUAUGGGUUGUAAACUGCUUUUAUAUGGGAAUAAAGUGAGGGACGUGUCCCUUAUUGCAUGUACCAUACGAAUAAGGACCGGCUAAUUCCGUGCCAGCAGCCGCGGUAAUACGGAAGGUCCAGGCGUUAUCCGGAUUUAUUGGGUUUAAAGGGAGCGUAGGCCGGUUGGUAAGCGUGUUGUGAAAUGUAGGAGCUCAACUUCUAGAUUGCAGCGCGAACUGUCAGACUUGAGUGCGCACAACGUAGGCGGAAUUCAUGGUGUAGCGGUGAAAUGCUUAGAUAUCAUGAAGAACUCCGAUUGCGAAGGCAGCUUACGGGAGCGCAACUGACGCUGAAGCUCGAAGGUGCGGGUAUCGAACAGG